rnacentral:rRNA from 1 species
AGAGUUUGAUCCGGCUCAGAACGAACGCUGGCGGCAUGCCUAACACAUGCAAGUCGAACGAACCCUUCGGGGUUAGUGGCGCACGGGUGCGUAACGCGUGGGAAUCUGCCCUUUGCUUCGGAAUAACAGUUAGAAAUGACUGCUAAUACCGGAUGAUGUCUUCGGACCAAAGAUUUAUCGGCAAGGGAUGAGCCCGCGUAGGAUUAGGUAGUUGGUGGGGUAAAGGCCUACCAAGCCGACGAUCCUUAGCUGGUCUGAGAGGAUGAUCAGCCACACUGGGACUGAGACACGGCCCAGACUCCUACGGGAGGCAGCAGUGGGGAAUAUUGGACAAUGGGCGCAAGCCUGAUCCAGCAAUGCCGCGUGAGUGAUGAAGGCUUUCGGGUCGUAAAGCUCUUUUACCAGGGAUGAUAAUGACAGUACCUGGAGAAUAAGCUCCGGCUAACUCCGUGCCAGCAGCCGCGGUAAU